rnacentral:rRNA from 1 species
CCUACGGGAGGCAGCAGUGAGGAAUCUUUGUCAAUGGGCGCAAGCCUGACCCAGCCAAGUAGCGUGAAGGAUGACUGCCCUACGGGUUGUAAACUUCUUUUAUAAAGGAAUAAAUUUAGGCACGUGUGCCUUUUUGUAUGUACUUUAUGAAUAAGGAUCGGCUAACUACGUUACAGCAGCCGCGGUAAUACGGAGGGUCCGAGCGUUGUCCGGAUUUAUUGGGUUUAAAGUGAGCGUAGGUGGGUUGUUAAGUCAGUUGUGAAAGUUUGCGGCUCAACCGUAAAAUUGCAAUUGAUACUGGAAGACUUGAGUACAGUGGAGGAAAGUGGAAUUCGAGGUGUAGCGGUGAAAUGCUUAGAUAUCACGAAGAACUCCGAUUGCGAAGGCAGCUUACUAAACUGCCACUGACAUUGAUGCUCGAAAGUGUGGGGAUCAAACAGGAUUAGAUACCCUUGUAGUC